rnacentral:rRNA from 1 species
UACGUAGGGGGCGAGCGUUGUCCGGAUUUAUUGGGCGUAAAGAGCUCGUAGGCGGCUUAGCAAGUCGGGUGUGAAAACUCCAGGCUCAACCUGGAGACGCCACUCGAGACUGCUAUGGCUAGAGUCCGGUAGGGGACCACGGAAUUCCUGGUGUAGCGGUGAAAUGCGUAGAUAUCUGGAGGAACACCGGUGGCGAAGGCGGCAUCCUGGACCAACACUGAUACUGAGGAGCGAAAGCCAGGGGAGCAAACGGG